UAAUUCGUUCCCUUGAGCACGUGACGUAGAGAGCAAUCCAUGUCAUUUUCAUAGCACGAUGAUUGGUUUCGCUGAAAUUGAUGACUUCUUCAUUUUACUUUUGGAAAUGAUUUUGGAAACUAUGAAGACAGAUUUGAACCUUGGCCCGACUUGGAAACAUUACAAUGGGUGUACCGAUGGGAAAUGAUAUCAUGACUGCUCGCAUCUCAGGCGGAACUUCUAUCAAGCGGUGUCCCAUUUGUUCUGCCAUUAUACUUGAUCGACUUGCUCUGGCGCCAGAUCAGAACACAAGGGACCGUACACCCCCUUUGACAAGGCCGACUACACUACGCUGGGUACGCAAAUACCCGACGUCCGUGUUUGGCGAUACGCCGGUCAGGACAAGCAUGGCCGGUUCGACUUAAUGAAAGACUGACGUGUGAUACGGGGCUAGUGUUCGGGUGUGGGACUCGACGCGCGAUUGAUAGGCAGUCACAGGACCGUGGCAGGGUCUUUCAGCUGCCGAAGCCAACCAGCUAUCCGCUUACCAUUAGCGUCUUGCCCGAUUCAUCCGUAAUUAUCGUGGUUACUGACUCGGUUCAUCGACUUCGUGAACUUCGCAUACACGUGUAAAAGCCUCUUUCACAAAUUAUUAUUUUCUCUUUGGUGAGAGCUAAAUUAAAAAAAUAUUAACGACUCGGCGAACUUUUUUUGUUAUUUUUAUUUUUUGUAGAAAGGGAAAAAUAUAAAAAGGAAACUCUUUGUUAUAAAAUGUUCAUGAAUUCAGAUUUGAC